GCUCCUACCUUCUCCCCUUCCCCGGCUCCUGCUCCUGGCUCUGCCGACGUAUCUGUGAGACUGGGCCCGACCAUUAUCUGGAGAGUGGCUAUUGCUUCGCCUUUCCCGCCUUUCAAAAGCUGGAGACAUGCUCUUGUAAUGAUAGUUAUCCUUCCUCAAAUCUUCAGUUCCUGUAACAUUGUCCCCAGACGACCAACCUGAUCUACUUUUGGACUGCCAUGAAUUUUCAGGUUUUGGAGGUCCCCACUCCUCAUAUUUCGGUGGACUCUCUUCUUCAGCAUCCCACAAAGACUUUCGCUUUUUUGCAUUUUCACCCAUAGUGGCCCUUGAUAGAAAAUAUCAGCAAUAUUUAUGUUCUUUCAUGAAGCAUAUUUGGAGACGUGAAUACAGAAAGCCUCUGUCUACGUUCAAUAGGACUAGGUGGUACACCAGCUAAACUUCCUCCAUUCUGGGGUUUCCUUUUUCAAGUUUUCCAGCUUAAGGAAGACAAACAUUCGAAUUGGAAAACUGAAAAUCAAGUUCCCAUUUCAAAGAAUCAAGAAAACAUAAUCUAAAAAUCAGUUCUUGAUUCAGCUGAUUAUCUGGGGGUAGAUGGGAAGUAGUGAGAAAAUGCCAAAGAAUCAAGAUUUGAUUCAAGUCAGUAAAACAGAUCAAAAACAAAUAGUUAAGGUAGCAAAAAAUACUAAAAAAU
rnacentral:misc_RNA from 1 species